AGAACGAACGCUGGCGGCAUGCCUAAUACAUGCAAGUCGAACGAACACUUCGGUGUUAGUGGCGCACGGGUGCGUAACGCGUGGGAAUCUGCCCUUGGGUUCGGAAUAACUUCGGGAAACUGAAGCUAAUACCGGAUGAUGACGUAAGUCCAAAGAUUUAUCGCCCAAGGAUGAGCCCGCGUAGGAUUAGCUAGUUGGUGGGGUAAAGGCCUACCAAGGCGACGAUCCUUAGCUGGUCUGAGAGGAUGAUCAGCCACACUGGGACUGAGACACGGCCCAGACUCCUACGGGAGGCAGCAGUAGGGAAUAUUGGACAAUGGGCGAAAGCCUGAUCCAGCAAUGCCGCGUGAGUGAUGAAGGCCUUAGGGUGUAAAGCUCUUUACCCGAGAUGAUAAUGACAGUAUCGGGAGAAUAAGCUACCGGCUAACUCCGCGCCAGCAGCCGC
rnacentral:rRNA from 1 species